CACGGGGGGAGCAAGCGUUGUUCGGAAUCACUGGGCGUAAAGAGCGUGUAGGCGGCCACGCAGGUCCGUUGUGAAAACUGGAGGCUCAACCUCCAGCUGUCGACGGAAACCGUGUGGCUAGAGUCCGGAAGAGGAGAGUGGAAUUCCUGGUGUAGCGGUGAAAUGCGCAGAUAUCAGGAAGAACACCAAUGGCGAAGGCAGCUCUCUGGGACGGUACUGACGCUGAGACGCGAAAGCGUGGGGAGCGAACAGG
rnacentral:rRNA from 1 species